UACGGAGGGUGCAAGCGUUAUCCGGAUUCACUGGGUUUAAAGGGUGCGUAGGUGGGUUUGUAAGUCAGUGGUGAAAUCUCCGUGCUUAACAUGGAAACUGCCAUUGAUACUAUAGAUCUUGAAUUUUCUGGAGGAUAGCGGAAUAUGUCAUGUAGCGGUGAAAUGCUUAGAUAUGACAUAGAACACCAAUUGCGAAGGCAGCUAUCUAACAGGGAUAUUGACACUGAGGCACGAAAGCGUGGGGGAUCAAAACAGGG
rnacentral:rRNA from 1 species